UACGAAGGGGGCUAGCGUUGCUCGGAAUGACUGGGCGUAAAGGGCGCGUAGGCGGAUGGCACAGUCAGAUGUGAAAUUCCCGGGCUUAACCUGGGGGCUGCAUUCGAUACGUGUGAUCUAGAGUGAGGAAGAGGGUCGUGGAAUUCCCAGUGUAGAGGUGAAAUUCGUAGAUAUUGGGAAGAACACCGGUGGCGAAGGCGGCGACCUGGUCCUUGACUGACGCUGAGGCGCGAAAGCGUGGGGAGCAAACAGG
rnacentral:rRNA from 1 species